AUUGAACGCUGGCGGUAUGCUUAACACAUGCAAGUCGAACGGUAGCAGGCCUUCGGGCGCUGACGAGUGGCGGACGGGCGAGUAAUGCAUAGGAAUCUGCCUAUUAGUGGGGGAUAACGUGGGGAAACUCACGCUAAUACCGCAUACGCCCUACGGGGGAAAGCGGGGGACUUUCGGGCCUCGCGCUAAUAGAUGAGCCUAUGUUGGAUUAGCUAGUUGGUAGGGUAAAGGCCUACCAAGGCGACGAUCCAUAGCUGGUCUGAGAGGAUGAUCAGCCACACUGGGACUGAGACACGGCCCAGACUCCUACGGGAGGCAGCAGUGGGGAAUAUUGGACAAUGGGCGAAAGCCUGAUCCAGCAAUACCGCGUGUGUGAAGAAGGCCUGAGGGUUGUAAAGCACUUUCAAUAGGAAGGAAUACCUAUCGGUCAAUACCCGAUAGACUGACAUUACCUAUACAAGAAGCACCGGCUAACUCCGUGCCAGCAGCCGCGGUAACAC
rnacentral:rRNA from 1 species